AAUAGCGGAGGAAAAGAAACCAACAGGGAUUGCCUUAGUAACGGCGAGUGAGCGGCAAAAGCUCAAUUUGAAAUCUGGCCCUUCGGGUCCGAGUUGUAAUUUGAAGAAGGUUAUUUUGGAGUCGGCUCUGGUCUAUUUUCCUUGGAACAGGACGUCUCAAAGGGGGAAAAUCCCGUGCGAUGAGAUGUCUGAUUCUAUGUUUGGUGCUUUCUAACAGUCAAGUUGUUUGGGAAUGCAGCUCUCAGUGGGUGGUAAAUUCCUUCUAAAGCUAAAUAUUGGCGAGAGACCGAUAGCGAACAAAUACAGUGAUGGAAAGAUGAAAAAAACUUUUUAAAGAGAGUGAAAAAGUACGUGAAAUUGUUGAAAGGGAAGGGAUUGAGAUCAGACUUGGUAUUUUGUAUGUCUUGCUUUCGGGUGGGGCCUCUACAGUUUACUGGGCCAGCAUCGGUUUGGAUGGUAGGAUAAUGACAUUGGAAUGUGGCACCGCUUCGGUGGUGUGUUAUAGACUUUGUUGAUACUGCCUGUCUGGACCGAGGACUGCAUCUUUGACUACGAUGCUGGCAUAAUGAUCUUAAACCGCCCGUCUUGCAGGGACGGGAGCAAAAUUUAACCGCCCCUUCUGAAACAAAGGACACAAAAU
rnacentral:rRNA from 1 species